UACGUAGGGACCGAGCGUUGUCCGGAAUCAUUGGGCGUAAAGAGCGUGUAGGCGGCUAUUUAAGUCCUGCGUGAAAUCCUGCGGCUCAACCGCAGACGGUCGUGGGAAACUGGAUGGCUAGAGUGCGGGAGAGGAGAGUGGAAUUCCCGGUGUAGCGGUGAAAUGCGCAGAUAUCGGGAAGAACACCCGUGGCGAAGGCGGCUCUCUGGACCGAUACUGACGCUGAGGCGCGAAAGCGUGGGGAGCAAACAGG
rnacentral:rRNA from 1 species